rnacentral:rRNA from 1 species
AUGUCGAGGAUGACGAGCAAGUUGGCAUCCGUGAAGCUUCGCCGGAGCCAUUCCUACUCUUCUAGAGCCACAAGGAGAGCCUUGGCAGGCUGUACGAGUGGGAGAAGAAGCUCUAUGAGGAAGUCAGGUUUCAUGCAGAUGGUGCCCAUCGACACUGCUACCUUCCGAAGGUUGCCAUGCUAUGGAUUGACAACCAUGGGCGUGUUUCUUCCAUGCGCUGUAGAGCAGGUGGACGAGGAGAAGGGGCCAGCCCGAGCUGGACGACGGAGUGUCUUCGGAGGCGGAGGAGAGGACCAACAAUAG